rnacentral:rRNA from 1 species
AAGACCUUGCGCUUUUGGAGCGGCCGAUGCCUGAUUAGCUUGUUGGUAAGGUAAAAGCUUACCAAGGCUUCGAUCAGUAGCUGGUCUGAGAGGACGACCAGCCACACUGGGACUGGGACACGGCCCAAACUCCUACGGGAGGCAGCAGUGGGGAAUUUUGGACAAUGGGGGCAACCCUGAUCCAGCCAUGCCGCGUGAGUGAAGAAGGCCUUCGGGUUGUAAAGCUCUUUCAGCCGGAACGAAACGGUUACGGUUAAUACCCGUGAUUACUGACGGUACCGGAAGAAGAAGCACCGGCUAACUACGUGCCAGCAGCCGCGGUAAUACGUAGGGUGCGAGCGUUAAUCGGAAUUACUGGGCGUAAAGCGUGCGCAGGUGGUUUUGUAAGUCAGAUGUGAAAGCCCCGGGCUCAACCUGGGAACU